rnacentral:rRNA from 1 species
CCUACGGGUGGCUGCAGUGAGGAAUAUUGGUCAAUGGGCUCACGCCUGAACCAGCCAAGUCGCGUGAGGGAAGACUGCCCUAUGGGUUGUAAACCUCUUUUGUCAGGGAGCAACGCCGGCUACGUGUAGCCGGACUGAGAGUACCUGAAGAAAAAGCAUCGGCUAACUCCGUGCCAGCAGCCGCGGUAAUACGGGGGAUGCGAGCGUUAUCCGGAUUUAUUGGGUUAAAGGGGUGCGUAGGGGUGAUGCAAAUUCAGCGGUAAAAUAGCGGGCCCAAACCCCGCACGGCCGUUGAAACUGGUGGUCUUGAGGAGGCGAGAAGUAUGCGGAAUGUGUGGUGUAGCGGUGAAAUGCAUAGAUAUCACACAGAACUCCGAUUGCGAAGGCAGCAUACC